rnacentral:rRNA from 1 species
UAACUGGAGGAAGGUGGGGAUGACGUCAAAUCAUCAUGCCCCUUAUGAGUUGGGCUACACACGUGCUACAAUGGACGGUACAAAGGGCAGCGAGACCGCGAGGUGGAGCCAAUCCCAUAAAGCCGUUCCCAGUUCGGAUUGCAGGCUGCAACUCGCCUGCAUGAAGUCGGAAUCGCUAGUAAUCGCAGGUCAGCAUACUGCGGUGAAUACGUUCCCGGGUCUUGUACACACCGCCCGUCACACCACGAGAGUUUGCAACACCCGAAGCCGGUGAGGUAACCGCAAGGAGCCAGCCGUCGAAGGUGGGGUAGAUGAUUGGGGUGAAGU